GCUAUGAAGUCUUCUACUGCGCCACCCGUCGCUCCUGAUGUGUAUGGCGGCGGCAGUUACAGGCGCGGGUAACCGCACUGUCUUCAUCCAUUGUGCGGACGGCGUCUGGCGGGACAGUGGGUCCCAGGCGCGGCUGCAGUGCGGGAGCUGGCGCUGGAGGCAGAUAUUGUACUCAAGGCUGCUGUGAUUCAAGAAAUUUUGGGACCCACUGCACUAAGAGCUACUGUAGCAUCUUCCGUGAGACAAGAGGAACUCUAGUCCUGUCAGCCAUGCUUUUAGCCACGAUAGCCAGCUCAAAAAGGACUUAAGGCGCUUGAACAUUACAUGAACAUAAUGCAGUCUAGAAACUAUGGACAUAACAAAGAGAUUUAGCUUUGCAUGGAAUCCAGAAACCAUGGCGAAAAUACAGAGGUGUGACAGCCAUUUUGGGUCAUCAAUUGCAAAGAAUCUUCAUCCUACACAUGAUGGAUCCAGUUUUUGCAGUCUCGAAUUAAAGAUUAAAGGGUCUGAACCAGCGAAUAUCUGCAAACUACAUAUGCGCCACAGAAUGCAUUCGCUAAUGGAUGGAAUAUUGAAAGUAUGGACAGAUUGAUCCGUCCAUUGGGCGUUUCUGGGAGGUGACUGUUAAGACUCUUUUGCAUACUUGCCUACCCUCCCAGGACAACUGGGAGGCUACUGAAAAUCGGAUGGCACUACCAGGCCCCGGAGAGGCGGGCAAGUCUCCUGCAUAUCCCUCCAGCCCUCCACAACCCACUUCGGCCACCCACAAUAGAGCACAAAUGGGCAGGCCGAGGGGACCCGAUGACGUGAUUCGUACUGAAUCAUGUUAUCAUAGCCCUGCCCCCCGCUAUACAGUGCCUGUGGAUGGUUAAUCACUGAGGGGCGAAAGUUUUGCCACUGAUGGUGGAGACUCACUGGGGACAUCGUAGAAUUAUAGAAUUCUAUAGGGACUGUUCUGCUGUUGGUCCGCAGCAGAUAUCGGAGACGUCUUCUGCAGAUUUUUUCAAUAUGGUGUCUGGAUGAUAGGUCAAAAGUCAAUGAGUUGAGCAGCACAUAGAGGUUGAUGUAUCAAGCAAUGAAAAAAGCCUAUAGUACCCAAUCAGCAUUGAGGUAGCAUUUUAUCAAGUACAUUCUAUGAAAUGAUAGGUAGAAGUUGGUUGGUUGCUAUGGGGAACUUCUCCACUGGUCUACUUCUCCUCUCUUUUCACUGUUUUAUACAUCAACCCCUUACUCCCAGCUAGUUGGUGUUUUAGGGUGAAAUAAAUGAAACGUUCUGUAAUAAUGUGACGCACAUAUUUAUGACUGUGUAUAGGCAUCU